rnacentral:rRNA from 1 species
UACGUAGGGCGCAAGCGUUGUCCGGAAUUAUUGGGCGUAAAGAGCUCGUAGGCGGCCUGUUACGUCUGCUGUGAAAUCCCGGGGCUUAACCCCGGGCGUGCAGUGGAUACGGGCAGGCUGGAGGCAGGCAGGGGAGAACGGAAUUCCCGGUGUAGCGGUGGAAUGCGCAGAUAUCAGGAGGAACACCGAGUGCGAAGGCAGGGUCUCUGGGCCACUACUGACGCUGAGAAGCGAAAGCGUGGGGAGCGAACAGG